rnacentral:rRNA from 1 species
CAGUAGCCGCGGGAAUACGAAGGGGGCUAGCGUUGCUCGGAAUGACUGGGCGUAAAGGGCGCGUAGGCGGUUUUGACAGUCAGAUGUGAAAUUCCUGGGCUUAACCUGGGGGCUGCAUUUGAGACGUCAAGACUAGAGUGUGAGAGAGGGUUGUGGAAUUCCCAGUGUAGAGGUGAAAUUCGUAGAUAUUGGGAAGAACACCGGUGGCGAAGGCGGCGACCUGGUCCAUAACUGACGCUGAGGCGCGAAAGCGUGGGGAGCAAACAGGAUUAGAUACCCCCGUAGUCCCUGUCUCUUAUAC